CUUCACACCACAAAUAAGAAAGCAGAGAUGGAGCCUUAGGGAUCUGGAGCACUUUCAGCUAAUAAUUAUUAGGACUCAAACUGGAGCCCAGGGCAAGCUGCAAUGGAUGGAUGGAUGGUGGGUGGGUGGAUGGGUUUUCCAAGAGAAAAUCAUUUGUGCAAUGGCUGAGCAAAAGAGGGACUACCAACCCAGGCUCCAAACACCACACGUUAUCAUAGAGAGCGAAGUUACAGUCAACACCCUCAUUUCAGGCUAGGUGCUCACCUGGUUCUCAGUAAGGUACUGUUGCCUCAGAACUUGGGUCAGAGACAAUGCGACCUUUCCAUGAUGCAUUGUACUGUAACAUUAAGUAUGUGGAUGAGCACUGGAGGAACCAAGACAAGGAAGAAGGCUGAGGGCAAGGAAGUGCUUUUCUUCCACCAGAGGGAAGAAUGGUGGGUGUGCAGGAGGCGCUCAGGUACUAUGGGAUGGGUGGAUGGGUGGGCUGCUGUGUGACUGUAGGCAAGCUGUUUGCCCUGCAAACCCCACCCCUCAUCCAUGGGAGGGUGCAGGGCUGACCUGCAGCAUAAUUUCACAAUGGAGUGAUUGACGCCUCUGUUCCUGUUUAUGAUGCAGUAGCAGUUGUUGGGCUCUGGGUGCCCAAAUAUGGAACAAAGAAGAAGGAAAUACCAAAAGGGAAAUGUAGUGUUCAGAGUGCUGGCUUCACAGUACAGAGGACACGGGGACCUGCUUGGGCCUGAGUGCCCAUCAGUCCUGACUACUGGCUUUGAGGUCAGGCAUCAGGCUAAGCAUCAUGCCCUGCUGCAGGUGAAGUCCCGGAUCUCUGCCCUCCCAGGAAAGUACCGUGUCCCAGGGCCUGAACACUUCCUCUAACAGAUGUAAUUCCUCAUCUACCAUGCACCAUCAACUGUGUAUGAGACGAUCUCAGAGUUCUCAGUGAGCCUCCCAAGAGAGGGACUGCCAUUCUCACUACACAGCAGAAGAAAGAGAGGAUCUAACAAGUGAAAGUCAGCAACAGGCACGCAGAGGAUCACAGAGAUGAAAACACCUGAUAACUGUCUGAAUGUUUUUCUGAGAAUGAAGACAACAUUCAUGAAAGACCCUGAACUCAAACCUC